GCUGGUAAAAGAGAACCAGAUC
rnacentral:miRNA from 17 species